CGAAACUUUCCUUGGGGAGGUUGAAGGAGACCGUGGUGUUUUGAAGGCUACGGUCGGCCAUUUUUGGUGUCAAUUUUUCCGACGGACUGCCAUGAUCUACGUUCGUUCGUUGCAGUACAUCAGCCUCCGGUCUAGUGGUAAGACUUGGUGUGCAUCGUGAUGUUCCCUUCUACAAACAUUCAUGGUGUACAAUGCAGAUGGUGCAUGCAUACGUUGUGCACUGUGCCGAGUGUAUAAGAGCUUACGAGAAAAAAUACACCGCAGCCUGACCACUCCAGGGCAGCAUUUCUCUAUGGAUAAUGGAUAUGUUGCGGUCCUUCUCCUGCCAUUCAUGGAUGAUUGAAAUAUAUAGCUCACCGUUGUCUCUGCCUGCUGCCAUUUCGCCUCGGGUAGCGCGAAGUGGCCUUAUAAAACCUUGCAUUGUCGGGAGGCAAUCAAGGCUCCUCAUCUGUGGCUGUGAGGAGGAAAUCAUUGAGACAAAUGACGACACAUCCCUAGAAGAGGCGCUAGUGAUGUGCCUAUGCCUUUAUUGUAUGUAAUAUAUAACUUAUCUGGCAGUGUAAGACCAGUUUUUGUGCAAACAACUACAAAGCCAAGAACAAGUAAAGAAAUAUCAUGGGCGCAAACAAGAUUAAAGGAUUUGUUCACUGCAUUGCUCAUUUAAAUCAAGCUCAUAUGAAUACUUACGCUCUCUCAGCGAUCUCAAAAUGCUUUAACUCUAAGUUUUGUUUUUAA